CCUUGAUCUUUGUUUUCUGAGAUU
rnacentral:miRNA from 14 species